UACAGAGGGGGCAAGCGUUUGUUCGGAAUUACUGGGCGUAAAGGGCGCGUAGGCGGCCUUCUAAGUCGAACGUGAAAUCCCCGGGCUCAACCCGGGAACUGCGUCCGAUACUGGAAGGCUUGAAUCCGGGAGAGGGAUGCGGAAUUCCAGGUGUAGCGGUGAAAUGCGUAGAGAUGUGGAGGAAUACCGAUGGCGAAGGCAGCCCCCUGGGUCAAGACUGACGCCUCAUGCACGAAAGCGUGGGGAGCAAACAGG
rnacentral:rRNA from 1 species